AUACUUACCUGGUAGGAGAGAUAUCGUGAUCACGAAGGUGGUUCUCUCAGGCCGAGACUCAGCCAUUGCACUCUGGCUUUGCUGACAGCCUGCAAAUUCCCCAAAUGUGGGAAUGUCGACUACAUAAUUUCUGGUAGUGGGGACUGCGUUCGCGCUCUCCCCUC
rnacentral:snRNA from 1 species